AUUGAACGCUGGCGGCAGGCCUAACACAUGCAAGUCGAGCGGAUGAAGGGAGCUUGCUCCUGGAUUCAGCGGCGGACGGGUGAGUAAUGCCUAGGAAUCUGCCUGGUAGUGGGGGAUAACGUCCGGAAACGGGCGCUAAUACUGCAUACGUCCUGCGGGAGAAAGAGGGGGAGCUUCGGACAUCACGCUAUCAGAUGAGUCGAGGUGGGAUUAGCUAGUUGGUGGGGUAAGGGGCUACUAAGGCGAGGAUCCGUAACUGGUCGGAGAGGAUGAUCAGUCACACUGGAGCUGAGCCAGGGUCCAGACUCCUACGGGAGGCAGCAGUGUGGAAUAUUGGACAAUGGGCGAAAGCCUGGUCCAGCCAUGCCGCGUGUGUGAAGAAGGUCUUCGGAGUGUAAAGCACUUUAAGGUGGGAGGAAGGGCAGUAAGUUAAUACCUUGCUGUUUUGACGUUACCAACAGAAUAAGCACCGGCUAACUUCGUG
rnacentral:rRNA from 1 species